rnacentral:rRNA from 1 species
AAUCAACGCUGGCGGCGUGCCUAACACAUGCAAGUCGAGCGAGAAAGUGGGGGCAACUCCAUGAGUACAGCGGCGACCGGGUGAGUAACACGUGACUAACCUACCCUUGAGUGGGGAAUAACUCCGGGAAACCGGAGCUAAUACCGCAUAACACCGUAAGGUCAAAGGAGCAAUUCGCUUAAGGAGGGGGUCGCGGUUGAUUAGCUAGUUGGUGGGGUAAUGGCCCACCAAGGCGAUGAUCAANAGCCGGCCUGAGAGGGCGCACGGCCACACUGGAACUGAAACACGGUCCAGACUCCUACGGGAGGCAGCAGUGGGGAAUUUUGCGCAAUGGGGGAAACCCUGACGCAGCAACGCCGCGUGAAGGAUGAAGGUCUUUGGAUUGUAAAC